rnacentral:rRNA from 1 species
GACGAACGCUGGCGGCGUGCUUAACACAUGCAAGUCGAACGGAAAGGCCCUUCGGGGUACUCGAGUGGCGAACGGGUGAGUAACACGUGGGUGAUCUGCCCUGCACUUUGGGAUAAGCCUGGGAAACUGGGUCUAAUACCGAAUAGGACCACGGCCUUCAUGGGUUGUGGUGGAAAGCUUUUGCGGUGUGGGAUGGGCCCGCGGCCUAUCAGCUUGUUGGUGGGGUAAUGGCCUACCAAGGCGACGACGGGUAGCCGGCCUGAGAGGGUGACCGGCCAGACUGGGACUGAGAUACGGCCCAGACUCCUACGGGAGGCAGCAGUGGGGAAUAUUGAACAAUGGGCGCAAGCCUGAUGCAGCGACGCCGCGUGAGGGAUGACGGCCUUCGGGUUGUAAACCUCUUUCAGCAGGGACGAAGCGCAAGUGACGGUACCUGUAGAAGAAGGACCGGCCAACUACGUGCCAGCCGCCGCAGUAA